CCUACGGGGCGCAGCAGUGAGGAAUAUUGGUCAAUGGGCGGAAGCCUGAACCAGCCAAGUCGCGUGAGGGAUUAAGGCCCUGCGGGUCGUAAACCUCUUUUGCCGGGGAGCAGAGGUCCGGACGUGUCCGGGCCGGGAGAGUACCCGGAGAAAAAGCAUCGGCUAACUCCGUGCCAGCAGCCGCGGUAAUACGGAGGAUGCGAGCGUUAUCCGGAUUUAUUGGGUUUAAAGGGUGCGUAGGCGGGCAUUUCAGCCGGCGGUCACAUGUCGGGGCUCAACCCCGGCCUGCCGUCGGAACUGGGUGCCUUGAGUGGGCGAGAAGUAUGCGGAAGGCGUGGUGUAGCGGUGAAAUGCAGAGAUAUCACGCAGAACCCCGAGUGCGAAGGCAGCAUACCGGCGCCCUACUGACGCUGAGGCACGAAAGUGCGGGUAUCGAACAGGAUUAGAUACCCGUGUAGUC
rnacentral:rRNA from 1 species